rnacentral:misc_RNA from 1 species
CCCCCCCCCCUCCCCCUCCCUCCAACCUUUUAUAAACUAUUAAAAUUUAAACUUUGAUUUGGCUUAUUCUUCCUAUCAAUACCUUUGCAAUGUGGAAUAUCACAUUAUUAUGUUGUUCUUGAGAAGGGAAAUUUUCUCUAGUGUUGACCAAGUAGUGGCGUGGGCAAAUUUUCAUAUCAUGAAACUCUUAUUAAAUCUUUCUAAAAUUUUUUGUACCCUAGCUUACUGCAAUAUUAAACAAAUAAUGGAAGAAAAAAAAAAAUGAGUAUGAUUGAGAUAUGUUAU